rnacentral:rRNA from 1 species
AUGGUUUUGGAAACGCGUGCAGUUCCUCGUCCUCCCAAACUAGUAACGCAGUGGCUCGUUCAAUGGCUGAACAUGUCCCCGGAAGAAGCUACAUGGGAAGAUGCUAACUUCAUCAAGUUCACCUUCCCGGAGUUCUUCAACGCAACCAUCCGAGCGUGGUUCCAACAAAAGGAUCCUCGAGGGCAAGGAUCGUCUUCUGGGGAGGGCAAUUGUCAGGACCCUGCAACUCAAAUGCAGUUACCUGACGAACUGAACACCUUAACUGAAGAAAUCUGCAGCGAGGAUGAAGCGUUACUCACAUGGGAGAUGGACAGCCAAGAUUGA